rnacentral:rRNA from 1 species
CGCGUAGGCGGCUUUGCGUGUCUCCCGUGAAAUCCCUCGGCUCAACCGAGGACGUGCGGAAGAAACUGCAAGGCUCGAGUCCGGAAGAGGGGGCGGAAUUCCCAGUGUAGCGGUGAGAUGCGUAGAUAUUGGGAGGAACACCAGUGGCGAAGGCGGUCCCCUGGGCCGGAACUGACGCUGAGGCGCGAAAGCGUGGGUAGCAAAACG